rnacentral:rRNA from 1 species
AUGAUUAUGAUGAUUGUCCUUGUAGUGAUUAUUUCAGCUCCAUGUAACCUUGUUGACUUCUAUCCAUCCCGCAUAUUAACUACAGCAAUUCUUUUUGUUGACAGAUUUGUCCACGUUACCUGCCUUCAUUCUGGAGCUACAAAGAUAGUUUUUAAAUCGUUAGCACCACAUAAAAACAUUCCCCCUAGAGUAGCUGUUAAUAUGAAUAACAGAAACUCUGUUAUAGCCAUUUCUGUACAUUCAAUGUACUCUACGGAUAGAGGAAUACAUAAAGUUGAACAUAAUAAAAUGAGAAAUUGA